UUGCCUUUUAAAUGAAGGCCCGUAUGAAUGGCACCACGAGGACUUAACUGUCUCCUUUUUCCAGUCAAUGAAAUUGAUCUUCCCGUGCAGAAGCGGGAAUACUAACAUAAGACGAGAAGACCCUAUGGAGCUUUAGACACCAGAAUAGCCCAUGUUAAACACCCCCAAUAAAGACUAAAACUUGUUGGCCCCUAUUCCAAUGUCUUUGGUUGGGGCGACCGCGGGGAAACAAAAAACCCCCACGUGGAACAGGAGCACCUUGCUCCCUCAACCCAGAGUUACAACUCAAAGUAACAGAACAUCUGACCAAUAAGAUCCGGCACUUUACCCGAUCAACGGACCGAGUUACCCUAGGGAUAACAGCGCAAUCCUCUUUUAGAGUCCAUAUCGACAAGAGGGUUUACGACCUCGAUGUUGGAUCAGGACAUCCUAAU
rnacentral:rRNA from 1 species